rnacentral:rRNA from 1 species
CGGGUGAGUACAACAUAGGAAAUCUGCCUUAGGGUGGGGGACAACAGAGGGAAACUUCUGCUAAUACCCCAUAUGAGCUUGGUUGAAAUACCAAUCUUGAAAGUUCCGGCGCCCUAAGAUGAGCCUGUGCCUGAUUAGCUAGUUGGUGGUGUAAUGGACUACCAAGGCGACGAUCAGUAGCUGGUUUGAGAGGAUGAUCAGCCACAAUGGGACUGAGACACGGCCCAUACUCCUACGGGAGGCAGCAG